AUUAAAAUAAAAAUACAGCUGUAGGCUAUUUGUAUUUUAUUUGUAUUUUAUUUGUAAAAUACAGAACACCGUUAGUCUAACACACGAGACAUAUAUAUUGGCUGAUUAGAAAUUAGAAAGAAGUAUUUUGAAAAGUAAACAAAACAAAGACUUGACAGUAUUAGCCUCGAAAAUCCAGCAAACCAGCACAGCAACAUUGUAAAUGAAAAAAAAGAUGCAGUGGCUUUUCCCGCGUAAAAAAUCUCGUCUGCACUGAAAUGUUCAGAUCGUCACUCUGAAUGAAAUGCGUUCUCAUAAGUGCUUCUGAUGAGUGCUCUCAAAUUUUUAUUCGUUUUAUAUCUUGCAAUUGCAGAUAAAAAGUAAGUUUUGACUUUUAAAAUUGUUAUUUUAUAUAUUGCAUAGCCUAUAGCCUAUUUGGGGAGAGAGAAUGGUUUUCUGAAACCAUUUUUUAGCUUAAUUGAUGCAAGCCUUGUGUAAGCUUUGGUUAUUUUACGCUUUGAAACUUUAUCUUUAGUCAUAUAACGAAUUUACAUUUUGUAUGAUAGAAUGGAAAAGCAAAUGUAAAUUCCCCAGUCAUUGUUAUUAAGUGGACUGAUGAGAACCUUAUCAUCACUACGAUGUACAAAGCUUCUUCAAGCCUACAUCUAGUCUAGAUAACAUGGAUUUGAUCGACUACAUCUCUUUGUUGGAUUCUUGGAUUCAUAGUGAAAAGGUUAUCGUUUUCAGAUGGACCAGUUAGGAUGAUAAUAAAACCCCUUAUCAUUUCACCGAUUAUUCAAUUCCAGAGAAAUGUGAUGGAAAGAAAUUGAUAAUGAAGACUGGCUUCAUUCUCUUUCACUGUGAUGAUAUUUCCAAAAUUGCUUGACGCUUUGUAUCAGCCAGAAGAAUUGGCCAACAUGUCUCUCUCUGGCAAUGCCUGCCCGAGUAUGCCAGGCUCUAACCUCUAAGUCAAAGCCAGAAAUUCCCAAGGAGGCCUUGAAUGAAAUUAUAGGUUUUAGGCAACAUAUUGGGAUCAAGCAUACAAAGGAUCUAUUCUGACAGAGCAGCAAGUUAAAGAAGCUGUAAGUGCCAAACUCAUUGCGGCCCAAACAAGAGAGAAAAAGCAGAAAAACAAGAUGCUGGCAAACGAGGCAUCGUCACCACUUACUGCAGGAGUUCCUUCGAAAUUCAAAAGUUUGUUAUUUGUAUUGUUCUAUUGUCUACUCUUAGUUGUGUUGAGUGAUGUUUAUGUCUGUUCGUUAGAGUGCGUGAUUAUGCCCAACAUUAUGUGUCGUGUUUUGAAAUACAAAGUCGAAUUCAACUCAAAAUUUUAA